AGCUCAGUUGGUAGAGCGCUCCACUUCUAAUGGAGAGGUCCCGGGUUCAACACCCGG
rnacentral:tRNA from 1 species